AAACAUUCACGUCUGAAGCGGAAGGAGUUACCAUGUAAACGGGGCGGAAACUCAACUGUCGAGCAGCAAAACGUGUCUCCCACUGUUGUUUUCACAAAUUUCAGAAAUGGUUUAUUGUCUUCAGAAAAAGUCUGUUAGCAUCUGAACUGUAAUGCUAACUAUAAGAGGUUUUGCAGGCAAUUUGUCAUUGGAUGAAAGGAACAGUUUCAGAAAAAAACUUCUACGACACAGGAAAAGUUCCUGAUUUGAAAAUUUCUGAAGGGAGCUGCUGACAGAAAUAUAAAAAACACAG